rnacentral:rRNA from 1 species
UACAGAGGUCCCGAGCGUUGUUCGGAUUCAUUGGGCGUAAAGGGUGCGUAGGCGGCGGAGCAAGUCUGAUGUGAAAUCCCGGGGCUCAACCCCGGAACUGCAUUGGAUACUGCUUUGCUAGAGUACUGGAGAGGGAACUGGAAUUUACGGUGUAGCAGUGAAAUGCGUAGAGAUCGUAAGGAAGGCCAGUGGCGAAGGCGAGUUCCUGGACAGUUACUGACGCUGAGGCACGAAGGCCAGGGGAGCAAACGGG